UUUCCGUAGGUGAACCUGCGGAAGGAUCAUUAGAGAGCCCACGGGCGUAUUAGAGACUUGUGAAUUGUGCGUUCGCGCAUUGUUGGCUUAUGAGGUUGGCUUGUGAACGCCUUCGGGCCGCCUUCGGGCUUCAAACUUGAUGUAACGAACGUCUCUAUGAGAAAAACACAACUUUCAACAAUGGAUCUCUUGGCUCUCGCAUCGAUGAAGAACGCAGC
rnacentral:misc_RNA from 1 species